ensembl:lncRNA
CUGGAGGGGCAGGACUGCAACUGACCAAAGCAAGUGAGAGUCCAGAGCAAGAGGACAGUCAGCCUAGGAUGCCUGAGCUUCCCUGGAGAAUCUGUGGACAACCAGACCUCGGCGAACCAACUCAGAGCAUUUCCUGAAAAUGAACAUCCACCCAGAGGGAUUGAACCAGCGUCUCCUGCAUUGAAAGGCAGAUUCUUAAUCACUGGACCAUGAGGGAAGUCUCUCAGAAGAGUUUUCAUGAAAGAUCCAAGGUAAUUUCUAAGGCCACGGUGUUUGGAACAAGGCUUACAGACUACUGGGGAUAGAAGAAGAGAAGAGUGUGGCCACUCCCAGGACCGGGGGAAGGUGGUUUUGAAAGAGCAUUACAUACAGGCUGGACCAUUAAGCAGUCCCUAACACAUUUCAGAGGAAGAGAAGCACCGUAGGUCAAAAAUCCAUCUGCACAGGGAGUAGCACCGUGAAAAAGACUUGGGGGUCUUAGCUGUCAUCAAGUUCAAUGACAGAACAGAGCUGCUUCACAGUCUAAGAAACUAAGGGAAUGCUGUGUGAGUGUUUCCCACAGAGCGAGGGUGGCAUCUGCCUAGCUGGAGGGCUGGCAGCACACUGAAUCUGCCUGCAGUGGAUUCUGAAACAUAGAAUUGUGGCUAGUGGGAUGUCAAACAGGAUGAGACUGAGAGCUGCUUGCCGUGAUGGAGCUUCUUCAGCAGAGUAAACUAUUUACAGAGCACCUUACCAGAUGCCAAGCACCCUGCAAGUAUCUGGUGACACAGCAGUGGAAAAAAACAAGCAGCAAUUCCUGCCUUCAAGGAACUUAUACUCUAGUGGACAAACAAUACAUUCUGGGACGUGAUGAAAAGUUCACCUUCUCUGGAUAGGAUGAGAUGGAAGAACAGGCAGCAUACAAGGAUGGCUGAGAGCGUGGUUUCUGUUCAUUCCCAGAUCGCACCAGAAUGAGACAUGUUCAGGGGGUAACUGCUUGUAACUGGCUGAAUUCUGUGGCCUGGAAUUGGAUUGACAAACGUCAGUUGGCAACUCAGGGAGAAGAUUGGAGAUAAACUGGCAAAGGCAAAGGACUGGGGGGAAGUGGGGAGGGUGGUUGCAAGAACAUUCUUCCGCUGACUGCAGCUCAGAGAGCUCACUUGUGGAUUUUAUGAUCUUUUCCUAG